rnacentral:rRNA from 1 species
UACGAAGGGGGCUAGCGUUGCUCGGAAUUACUGGGCGUAAAGGGAGCGUAGGCGGACAUUUAAGUCAGGGGUGAAAUCCCGGGGCUCAACCUCGGAAUUGCCUUUGAUACUGGGUGUCUUGAGUAUGAGAGAGGUAUGUGGAACUCCGAGUGUAGAGGUGAAAUUCGUAGAUAUUCGGAAGAACACCAGUGGCGAAGGCGACAUACUGGCUCAUCACUGACGCUGAGGCUCGAAAGCGUGGGGAGCAAACAGG